AAUAAGAAGCAAUUUUGUAUUGCAGGCAUACAAAAAUAUGAAUAUAAUUAAAAGUUAACAUCAAUAUAAGUGAAUAUUAAUAAAAGAUAUCAAUAUAAAAUUUUGGGACUUACCUGGCCGUUGAUGAAAAUGCAGCUAAGUUUUUGCUCCAAAUUAUUUCUGUGCAAUUCCGAGGUUUUAAUGGAAAUCCUAAGGCGUUUAAUUUCUGCUGACUGCUCGUUUCUGCACUUAUUCAAAGUUCUAACACUAUUCAGCCUUUGUCUAAAAAGAAUUAGAAAUACACAUACUUAUUAUUUUCUCGUCUUUCUCGUCCUGCAGUUUGAGAUGCCUCUCCAACCUCGUCUUCUUGAAUUAUUUCAACAGGGGCGGUAUUCUUCAACAUUAUUGUCCUCUGCAGGAGCAGUUAACGUGGGAAAAGCGCUAGGCAGUAACUUAGUUGGAUUCCGCGAACUUAAACCUGCAAGAGUGUUUGGUUAUAAAAGUAAAAUUAUUGUAAUCAAAAUGCCAGAAUUACACAUUUCAAACUGCAAGUUGCAUUAAUUUUGUCCAUACGACGACAAAAAUUAUCCAUUGUUUUACCACUGUUUUAUCUUUAGGGAAAUGGAAAAAUCUCCAUUUCGUAGCACAAUUUUUACCAUUAUUAUUAUUGCACCCAACACUGCGCAACUCAUUUAAAAAAAUAUAAAAUUUAACAAUCAAUACAACACUUGAAAACACAAUUCGAAUUCACUUUCAAAAGCGCGGGCGAAUAAUAAGUCAACCGUGACGUCAGCAAGAGCAGCUGACUGAAAGCAAACAUGCGCAUUGCGCAAUCUUAUUUCUAUCAUUCUUGGCCUCUACCCAAAAAAAAGAAAAUGAUUCAAGCUUUGAAUAAAAAAGAAAUAAACACUGAUCCAAAAAAAAAAUUUGAAAUUGAGCCAGGAAAUUCAGACCAAUUCUUAUCAGCAGAUCUGAGUGACUUUAUUUCGAAAAAGUCAAUGACUAUAUGUAGUUCAAACAUUCGAUUUACCUACAAACUUCAUUGACAAAAAUGUGGAAUCUUGGUCACAGGAUGAAAGCUAUCAAGAGAAUCUAAGCGCAUCAGCGUGGUCAAUGAUGCAGCAGAAAGAGGUGUUGGUUUAAUAGAGGAGUACAACAAAUGUCUUACUAAAAAUGAAGAACAAUUGCAAUAUUUAUUGCAAGUUGUUAAAAAUCACCGACAAAAAUUUCCCGAUUGUAAGAAAAAGACUUUUGUUUAAUUUUGAAAUAAUCAAUAUGUAAGAGAUAUGAAAUAAAAAGUUGUGUUGCAAUCGAAAAAUUACUGAAAAAUGGCUCUUAUUAAAUUACAUUUCCUGAGAGUCAGACUUUUUUUGUAGAUCGGUAAAUUUCCUAUAAGAAUUAGUGUUGAUUAUCGCUUACCAAUUAUUUGUUUGUGUACAUUAAAAAUCCAAACAAAAAGAACAAAAUUUCCUGUGUUAUUUAUAUGGGAAAUCGAAAAUGUCGA